CUCGUAGGUGGCUCUGUAAGUAGGUGGUGAAAGCCCACGGCUCAACCGUGGAUACGCCUCCUAAACUGUGGAGCUUGAGGCUGGGAGAGGAAAUCGGAAUUCCUGGUGUAGCGGUGAAAUGCGUAGAUAUCAGGAGGAACACCGGUGGCGAAGGCGGAUUUCUGGACCAGUUCUGACACUGAGGAGCGAAAGCCAGGGGAGCAAACA
rnacentral:rRNA from 1 species